AAGUAUGAUGAAAGAUAUGAAGCGAGUGAGAAGCAUGUUCAGUAUCAGGAAUAUGAGAAGCACUUCUGAGUCAUUGGCCAAUGGGCUAAGGCUCACACUCUGGAAGGAAAGCUCAACAUCAAUCUGAUGAACAGUCAGCUCUUUCAGGAGCAAGCCGUUGAAGGCAUUUUCUAACAGUUCACUGGUCUUGGGAACCUCAGAGAGAUCAACCAGACAACACACAAACAGCUACAACUUAUAUAUGGCAAACAAAGCAUGGUGGAUGGUUAUUGGCACUAAUUAUUCCCAAACCUUGCUUGAUCUAAUAGGAGAGAAACACAGAGCAACUUUAAAGAAUGAAGAAGCACCAUCUGCACCAUGCAGAUAGAAUUUGAUUUUCAAACAUCCAUCAUUUAACACUUCUAAGGUUGGGGUCUUGGGAUUACAGGCCUUUGGAAGAAGUAUGUUUUAAGAAAUGACUUAGAGGUGAGUAUAGAAUCACGGCAGAGGAAAUGG